rnacentral:lncRNA from 1 species
GGACCAGUAAGGUCACACGUGGCUUCCUUCCUGGUGCUGAACACCAGCCAGCUCCCUCCUUUCUGGGUGUGCGCUUCAGAAUGGCAAGGAGACCUUAAACCUGCUUCUGCAGCACUUUGGACUGAACUACCUUCUGUUGCCUCAAUCUCUGUUCCAGGACAGGGAGAGAAGGCCCACAGUCUUUGUCUGCUCUGUCACUAAGCAAUUUUCUUCCUCUCAGUGCUCGUGGCUGGACGAUGGUAACAUCUUGAGACUCCUGUUAUGGCUCAGUAAGAAGCAUGAAGACUCCGUUAGACGUUGAACUCAAGCCUCUGCUUUGGACCGAACUUCGAGAACUUUAAUAAAGUGGAACAUUCUGUCUUCCAUCAGUUUCUGUUUCCACGGCACACACAUCUCUCUAGGCACUUCCUAGGGAGGAUGAAUAUGUAGGGUAGGAUUCCAGAAUUUCUGCUCCCCAGGCAAUGAUAUUAAUAUGAUAAUUAAUAGUACCAAACACUUUAAGAAGACUGGGUUAAUUAAUAGAGGAAUUCCAUCAGACUUUUAAAGGAGAUCGAUGACAUAAAUAGUAAGGGGCCCGUUUUGUCAUGAGUUUCCUUUUCCUCAAGCAUCGUGUCAGGGUUUGGUCUUACUCAAAAAACAUUUCCUACCCCUCGACCAAAGAAAAUCUCUAAAAUAUAGCUCAGGAAAUUUGAGUAUUGAAGGGAUAUUCAUAAAUAUUUUAAAACUGUCCUUGAUUUUUUGUUACUGAAUUUUUAAAAAUGUGAAUUAAAAACACCACGCUCAACUAAACUCACAUAAUUAUUAUGAGAAUGAAAUUCAACAAGAGGUCAGAAAAUGCUUUGAAAACUGAGAAACAAUACAGAUAAGAAGACUUUUAAAACAAAGAACAUGUUGCAUUAUGGAACCUAAGAUGCCAUAAAGCUAACAAACUAUCAUGGGCGUAUAAAAGAAAAUAUGGAGAAUUCGUUCCACCUGCUCAAAGAGGAACAUUUCUUUUUCUUUUUUCCCUCUCUCUCUCCGUGCUUUCUGCUUUUCAUGAGUGUGUGUGUGUGUGUGUGUGUGUGUGUUGAGGCCAGGGAUGGAACCUGCGUCCUCACGGACACUAGUGGGGUUCAUUACCACUGAGCCACAGCAGAAACUCCCAAAGAGGAAUAUUUCUGCUUCUUAAGUCAUCCUUCUCUGCAAUCCCACUAUUGGACUAUUCACGUCUAUUAAAUUCUGCCACCGAGGAAAUUUUUUAAUUAUUUGGAACAAGGAUCUUUAAACAGGUACCAAGCAUCAAUGGCUCCAAAUUGUUUCAUUCUUGAUACACUUUGUUUCUGCUAAAGUGGGGAGGAGAUGGAGACGAAAUCGAAUAAAGAACAAGAAAUUCCAGAGCUUAAACCGGGUGGCUAGGUGGCAGAGGCUGUCGGUUUCUUUAAAGAAAUACCUUCCUCGGAAAGUCAGGGAGGAGAAUCAAUUUUUACUCUCACUAUCAAGUCCCAAGUCCAAAUAAUACAUCCGCUGGACACUAGCUGGGUCAGAAAAAGAGCUUCUGCAGCUAAGCUCUUAUUCUAGUGAGGAAAUGUUUUGUGUGCACAUUGUUAUGUCCUCAUUCAUCCAGUGGGAACGUCACAAAUGUUCACGAAUCUGGUUUGACAUGGUCGCACUGCCCUAGACGAGCCAUAAUGCUGUUGAAUUUAAAACAUCAUCAACGUAAGACAAAGUGGUCCAUUCUUCACGUGCCCUGAUGCCCUAGUGAACUCAUUAUCAGCUAUGGCUGGCACUGCGUCCCCCUAGUUCAUAUGUUGAAGCUUUACCCCUCACGGUGAUUGGAUUUGAAGAUGGGGCCUCUUCAGGGGUCAUUAAGGCUAAAGGAGGUCAUGAGGCUAGGAACCUGAGCCAAUGGGAUUGGGGUCCUUUUAAGAAGAGGACGAUACACCAGAACACUCUCCCUCUUCCUUCCUCCCUUCCUCUCUCUCUCCAUGUGUAGGCACAGAGGAAAGACCAUGUGAGGACCUGUGAGGAGUGGCCACCUGCACGACAGAGAGAGGGGCCUCACCGGAAACCAACCCUGCUGGCCCCUCAACGUGGAAAUAAACACCUGCUGUUUAAGUCCUGUGUCCUGGGGUAUCUUGCGAUGGGAGUCCUUCCUGAUGAAGACACUGUCCCUUGCUUAGGUGCAUCAUCAGCCUCGUUAUGGACCUUGGGGAGAAUAAGAGUAGCCCAGCAACAAGGAAGCAGGGGCUUCACUGCAGGAAGAAGUGAUGGAAAGCGUGGGACGCUCCAAGCACUGAUGCAAAGAAUGGCGAUUGUACCAACAGCCACUGGGUGAGGUAGCAGCAAACAAUGUUGAGGAUGAAAAUGAAGAAGAACAGGAGUUCCUGCUGUGGCACAACAGGAUAGGCAGCCUCUUGGGAGUGCUGGAACGCAGGUUCGAUCCCCAGCCCAGGACCACGGGUUAAGGAUCCAGCGUUGCAGCUGUGGCUUAGGUUGCGACUGAGGCUUGGAUAUGAUCCCUGGCCCUGGAGCUCCAUAUGCCGCGGGGCAGCCAAAAUGAAAAAAAAAAGAAGAGUUACGGUUAAAUUAUUUUCGUUCUAUACUUAGAGAACCACAAAGGGUAAGACGGGAUUACUGAUAUUUUUCUCUCACUUUAUUGAAUCUGGGGCGAUAUUUUUUCCUGCAGGGAUCCCAGGGCAUAUCAUAUUUUCCCUCUUCUCUUCCUGUGCUUAGAGCUUCCCCACUCCAAUUUUACCUUGCUAUCUUCUUGUAUUUCAGAAUUUUACUUAGUUACCAAUUCCUCUACAGGCCUCUUUGUCACUGAAACUUACUGUUUAAGGCUUAUUUUAAAGCCGCAAUAAACAAUCAGAGACUGACUCUUAAAGGGCCCCCAUGCUUGUUAACUAGGCAACAAUGAAAAUCAUUUUACUUGUAUUCAUUUAUCUUCGAUUUCUGACAGUUUUCCGGCAUUCAUCCAUUCCUCAUUCUGUUAUCCAAUGAGACUGAUUUCUAUUACCUGUGAAUAAACCGUGACACCGGAGUUCUUAAAACCCGACCCUGGCUUUCCGUGGAACGAAACCCUUUCAUAGACUGGCUAUUGUUUACCUUUUCAACCUCUCAGUAGCUUCCCUUUGUCAAAGGGAACCUGAGCCAGACAUCACCUUAAAGCCGCAAAGAUAGAUGUUAUUCAAAAAACGAUUACAAUAGGAGAAAAGAGACUUCGGGACAGAACUGAGCUCAAUUGUUGAAUACAAGAAGGACAAGUGGUGAUGUGCAGCCGCGAGUCAGGGUAGAGAGGGAGACGGUUGCUGGGUGGAAAAUUGCUAAGGGGGACACGGCAAGCGCAGAGCUAUUCCUGCUGAGCGGAUCUUACUGAAGAAGACCCGCCACAGUGACCAGACAUCCAGGGUGGGAGAUUCCUGAGACCCAGCAAGGACAGGGCCAAGGUCAAGACCUAGUCAGGUAAAGGGCUCAGAGCAGCUGGACUAAAGUUGGGUUAAAGAGAGAGUCUCUUUGUCAUCUUUUACCUGUGUGGUUUUUUUUUUUUUUUUUUUUUCUUUCUUUCUUUUUAGGCCACACCCACGGCAUAUGGAAGUUCCCAGGCUAGGGGUCAAAGUGGAGCUGCAGAUAUCAGCCUACGUCACAGCCACAGCAACUCGGGGUCUGAGCCUCGUCUGUGACCUACACUACAGCUCAUGGCAACACCAGAUCCUUAACCCCGUGAGCGAGGCCAGGGAUCGAACCUGCAUCCUCAUGGAUACUAAUCAGGUUCAUUACUGCGAAGCCACAGUGGGAACUCGAAUAUCACCUUCCGCCUGUGGAAACCUACAUUUCAGUUACAUCAUUCUUCUUCCAGUAGAACUAAUGGCUCAUGCUCCCUCUGCUUCCAGACCUUGACCCCUAAUGACCUUUUGGCUGGGCCCAUGUUCCUCUCCUUCCCUCUUCAUCUGGAUAUUCCUCAGCUCUCAGGUUAGACACAGUAGCCUCAGGAUUUUCUCUGAUGCCUCCAGGUCUUGGCCAGCAGCCUCGUUAAGAGCAGCCACACUCCGCCAGCUAGAGCGCAUCUCACGCUUGUGGUCAUGACCCGUUCUCACGAAGCCACCACUCCUUGAAUGCAGGGGUCCUAUCUGUCUUGUUCUCCACUCUGUUCCUGGCACCCCACACCACGCCUGGCUCACAGGCGGGGUUCAACCCGUAUCUGUCAAAUAUACGGAGGGUAAUGAUCACAAAUUUUAUUCUAAAUUCCCAUGCGGGUGACCAAACAUUCAGUAGCCGGUCCUGCUUUGGGGGUUCAGAAAGGCCUCUCUUAGGCACCGGAGGCUGAAAGUUCCCGGGGAGAGAUUACAGGCUGAGGAGAGGGCCAGUUUCACGACUCAGGGAGCUGGGAGGACCGUCCUUAUUGGAUGAUCUGGGGGAGAUCCCUUCAAUCUGCUAAAUAGAGUGAUUUUUCUUUGCACACCAAGAACUACUCCCGCUUAUGGCCUCAUGCCAGGAAGACGAGAUGGGGAAAAGGAAAGAAGCAGAUCUUUGGGGGAUGACUGGACCCAGAUUCUGAAGUGACACUAAUUCCAGGAGACCCAAAAUGUCACUGUGGCCCAGCAGUCAGAGAAAGGGGCUUACGGAGGCCAGGUGACAAAGGUGUUUGCUCAGGUCCUUCUCACAGUGGACCCAGUGGGUCCCUGAACCUCCCCCCCCCAACCCCGGGGUUAUUUUCCCAAGCCUGUGAUGCAGAAUCGGACUAGAGAGCCCCCGAAGCUGGCGGAAUCCCCACACUGAUCCUGCGAGAAGCUCUCGGGUUCCCCCGUUGCAGAAGGGACACUCCUCCGGGGAGAGGACCCCUUUCUGCAGGAGGAAGUCCAAUGGCCACCUGCCGUUAUUGCCUCUAAGGGGCUGGUAAAUGAAGGAUAAAUAUAAAGAUUAAUAGUUGGUUGAAAUUAAAAUAUCCUCUUCCUUCAUCUGUAACUUCCCAUAAUGCCAUAUUCAGAAAAAAAAAAAAAAAAA